AGCGUGGUCACACGUGAUGAGAGAGAAGUGUAGUUUUAAGUUUGAGUUUGCAUGAAUUGAGCACAUAUCGUUUGCCAAAGUUGGAAACUACUGCUCCCAGUAUACUAUGGUCUCUGGAUCACGUGAUUGAUCAGCUGAGAAAUACAUGUGUAGAUGUAAACAAAAUACUAAACUCGUGAUUUUAGUCUACUGCAAUGAAUAUGUCAGUGGGUUGGCUUUAUUCAAUACGCCUAACUUUUUAUGUAAGGUUUUUAUAAAAAUACACACAAGGCUUAGAAUGAAGAGCUAUGAAGGAAGGAGGAUGAUCCUUCCGGUCUAGUACAUCUACAUCUAUGUAAACUGUCGAGUCAAAACCGUUGCUAAGGAGGGUAGCUAGGGUAACCAAAAUCCUGAAUCCAUGACGGAGGUCUGUCCCUUUAUACACAAUCUAUGGUCUGUCCUCCCCAACCAAUUAUCAAGGUAGACUGUUGCGUAGGCCUAUCAAUGUCGGCUCCUCAACAGCAGGAACAAAGCAGAGCCCUGUGUGCAAACCCUGGGAAUCCUGUUUUCUCAUGUAUGAUGACCCCAGUUGUUAAAGACACUUCUUCUGUGCCAUGGGCGAAGCCUCAAAGCCCCUUCUACAAGACCACCUCAAGUGACUAUGGUGUUAGUCCUCCAACAUUUGAAUCAUCACCCUGUACCUACCACCCACUUUCACAAAGAUUCACAGAAGACCUUGGGAACUGUGGGAUGUUCCGUGACAACUCCUUCAAUACAAGUCUUGAUCGAAGCAGGGUAUAUGACUGCCCUAACUUGCAAAACACUAUCUGAUUUGAUUGACAUGGUAUAACAUUGUCUUGGUGUUGAUUAAACUACCUGUUGGACCUUCA